GACGAACGCUGGCGGCGUGCUUAACACAUGCAAGUCGUACGGUAAGGCCCUUUCGGGGGUACACGAGUGGCGAACGGGUGAGUAACACGUGAGUAACCUGCCCACAACUUUGGGAUAACGCUAGGAAACUGGUGCUAAUACUGGAUAUGUGCUCCUGCUGCAUGGUGGGGGUUGGAAAGCUCCGGCGGUUGUGGAUGGACUCGCGGCCUAUCAGCUUGUUGGUGGGGUAGUGGCCUACCAAGGCGGCGACGGGUAGCCGGCCUGAGAGGGUGACCGGCCACAUUGGGACUGAGAUACGGCCCAGACACCUACGGGAGGCAGCAGUGGGGAAUAUUGCACAAUGGGCGCAAGCCUGAUGCAGCAACGCCGCGUGCGGGAUGACGGCCUUCGGGUUGUAAACCGCUUUCAGCAGGGACGAAGCUUUUUGUGACGGUACCUGCAGAAGAAGCACCGGCUAACUACGUG
rnacentral:rRNA from 1 species